CCCUUAGAUGUCCUGGGCCGCACGCGCGUUACACUGAUGCAUUCAACGAGCUUAUAACCUUGGCCGAGAGGCCUGGGCAAUCUUGUUAACGUGCAUCGUGAUGGGGAUAGAUUAUUGAAAUUAUUAAUCUUGAACGAGGAAUUCCUAGUAAACGCAGAUCAUCAAUCUGCAUUGAUUACGUCCCUGCCCUUUGUACACACCGCCCGUCGCACCUACCGAUUGGAUGGUCCGGUGAAGCCUCGGGAUUGUGGUUCUUGCCGCUUUAUUGUGGCGUGACCGCGAGAACUUGUCUAAACCUUAUCAUCUAGAGGAAGGUGAAGGCGUAACA
rnacentral:rRNA from 1 species